rnacentral:rRNA from 1 species
UAGGGAAUCUUCCACAAUGGACGCAAGUCUGAUGGAGCAACGCCGCGUGAGUGAAGAAGGUUUUCGGACCGUAAAGCUCUGUUGUUGGUGAAGAAGGAUAGAGGUAGUAACUGGCCUUUAUUUGACGGUAAUCAACCAGAAAGUCACGGCUACUACGUGCCAGCAGCCGCGGUAAUACGUAGGUGGCAAGCGUUGUCCGGAUUUAUUGGGCGUAAAGCGAGCGCAGGCGGAAGAAUAAGUCUGAUGUGAAAGCCCUCGGCUUAACCGAGGAAUUGCAUCGGAAACUGUUUUCUUGAGUGCAGAAGAGGAGAGUAGAACUCCAUGUGUAGCGGUGGAAUGCGUAGAUAUAUGGAAGAAUACCAGUGGCGAAGGCGGCUCUCUGGUCUGCAACUGACGCUGAGGCUCGAAAGCAUGGGUAGCGAACAGGAUUAGAUACCCUGGUAGUCCAUGCCGUAAACGAUGAGUGCUAAGUGUUGGGAGGCUUCCGCCUCUCAGUGCUGCAGCUAACGCAUUAAGCACUCCGCCUGG